UAGGGAAUCUUCGGCAAUGGGGGGAACCCUGACCGAGCAACGCCGCGUGAGUGAAGAAGGUUUUCGGAUCGUAAAGCUCUGUUGUUAAGGAAGAACGAGUGUGAGAAUGGAAAGUUCAUGCUGUGACGGUACUUAACCAGAAAGGGACGGCUAACUACGUGCCAGCAGCCGCGGUAAUACGUAGGUCCCGAGCGUUGUCCGGAUUUAUUGGGCGUAAAGCGAGCGCAGGCGGUUAGAAAAGUCUGAAGUGAAAGGCAGUGGCUCAACCAUUGUAGGCUUUGGAAACUGUGUAACUUGAGAGCAGAAGGGGAGAGUGGAAUUCCAUGUGUAGCGGUGAAAUGCGUAGAUAUAUAGAGGAACACCGGUGGCGAAAGCGGCUCUCUGGUCUGUAACUGACGCUGAGGCUCGAAAGCGUGGGGAGCGAACAGG
rnacentral:rRNA from 1 species